GAUAGUUUAAGAUGCAAAAAAAAAAAUAUUUACUUAAUAAAUAUAAUAUAAAUGAAUAUUACAAAUACACCAUUUAAUAAAAAAAAAAUAAUUAAGGAUUAGGAGAGACGUCUCUUCUUCCUCUAUCUUUUCUUCUCCGUCUCUGCUGUCUCUCUAAUCUCUCUCUCUCCUUCUUUCAAUUGGAUUCUUGAACUCAUCUUCCCCAUCCACAACCAUGACUGAGGUAGAGAGAGGAGAACUCAACUUGUUAAUUUGAAAUUGAUCUGAAGUCUUGUAGAGAGAAGAGAAAUCUUCGAAGCUGAGACCGGCGUUUCCAGGUUGGAUGUAGGACUCGACGGUGGACAUGACAAAGAGCUCAAGUAGUUUCUAAACUGCAACUGUUAUUGAGAAUGAGGAUGAUGAUAGUUUUGAUCUUGGAUCCGUGUGUUUAGAACAGUGUAAUGUGAAACGUGUUGUGCCUGAGAGAGUUCUGGUUGUCAAGUUCUUACCUUGCGAGGGUGUAAAGCUGGUUGCUGCAGGGCACAAGGAUGGGAACGUUGGAUUUUGGAAUCUUGACUGUCAGAACGAGGAAGAGGAUGGUGGUGUAUCUCUGUUCAAGCCUCACACUUAUUCAGUUACAUCUCUUGUCUUUCAACAAAACUCUUUCUCAAAGGUUGCAACUACUUUGGUCAGCUUCUUCGAGACUUGCAACGCUGAUCCAAGUCAUUGGGAGAAAAUCUCUGAUGGAGGGCUUGAGCGAAUCUAUGAAAGGUUGACCUCGUUUUUCCUUGACAGGCUCAACAAAAGAACCGUACUCGCUUCACCAAGAUGACUGCAUCAUUAAGGGGUUUGUGCAUGUAUUAGGUACACAUGGAAGAAGUACUCAGAGAGGCUGCUUACGCUAGCUGGUGUCUAUUCAUUCUGGAAACAUGUGUCUAAGCUUGAAAGGAGAGAAACACGACGUUAUCUAGAGAUGUUUUACUCUCUGAAGUUCCGGGAUCUGGUCAGUGUAAUUCACUCUUCCUUCUUUCAGUUUCUUCGCUUAGUUUACUUGUAUGAUCAUAUUACUACUUGCUGACUCCCUGUUGUUUUUCUGUUUAUGUUGUCUUUGAAUAAAAAGCUAUUGUCAGCUUUUGUUGA